rnacentral:rRNA from 1 species
ACCCGUCUUGAAACACGGACCAAGGAGUCUAACAUGUGCGCGAGUCAUUGGGUUACUGUUAAAAGCGAACAAGCCUAAAGGCGCAAUGAAAGUGAAGGUCGGCCUUAGCGUCGAUCGAGGGAGGAUGGCCCGGGUUCGCUCGGGUCCGCACUCCCGGGGCGUCUCACGGUCGUUUCGACCAGAGGCGCACCCAGAGCGUACACGUUGGGACCCGAAAGAUGGUGAACUAUGCCUGGUCAGGACGAAGUCAGGGGAAACCCUGAUGGAGGUCCGUAGCGAUUCUGACGUGCAAAUCGAUCGUCGGAACUGGGUAUAGGGGCGAAAGACUAAUCGAACCAUCUAGUAGCUGGUUCCCUCCGAAGUUUCCCUCAGGAUAGCUGGCACUCGCUCGAUAGCGAGUCUCAUCUGGUAAAGCGAAUGAUUAGAGGCCUUGGGGCCGAAACGACCUCAACCUAUUCUCAAACUUUAAAUGGGUGAGAUCUCUGGCUUGCUUAAACGUUGAAGCCAAGAGAUCGCGCCACGACCUGUGUAAGCAGGGCGGGGCGCCUCACGGAUCAGAGUGCCAAGUGGGCCAAUUUUGGUAAGCAGAACUGGCGCUGUGGGA